rnacentral:rRNA from 1 species
CGAACGGGUGAGUAACACUGGGCAACCUGCCCAAAAGAGGGGGGAUAACACUUGGAAACAGGUGCUAAUACCGCAUAACCAUAGUUACCGCAUGGUAACUAUGUAAAAGGUGGCUAUGCUACCGCUUUUGGAUGGGCCCGCGGCGCAUUAGCUAGUUGGUGGGGGUAAAGGCUUACCAAGGCAAUGAUGCGUAGCCGAACUGAGAGGUUGAUCGGCCACAUUGGGACUGAGACACGGCCCAAACUCCUACGGGAGGCAGCAG